GACGUAGGUGGCGAACGUUAUCCGGAAUUAUUGGGCGUAAAGGGUGCGUAGGUGGCCUGACAAGUUAUCAGUGGCAAAUCGAGGCUCAACCUCGUGGAAACUGGUAAUACUGUCCGGCUUGAGUGCAGGAGAGGUUAACGGAACUCUAUGUGGAGGGGUAAAAUCCAUAGAUAUAUAGAUGAGCAUCAAUAAAGGCGAAGGCAGUUAACUAUUCUGUUACUGACACUGAGGCACGAAAGCGUGGGUAGCAAACAGG
rnacentral:rRNA from 1 species